CCUACGGUGGGCUGCAGUGAGGAAUAUUGGUCAAUGGGCGGAAGCCUGAACCAGCCAAGUAGCGUGCAGGAUGACGGCCCUACGGGUUGUAAACUGCUUUUAUACGGGAAUAACGCGCCUUACGUGUAGGGCUUUGCAUGUACCUUAUGAAUAAGGACCGGCUAAUUCCGUGCCAGCAGCCGCGGUAAUACGGAGGGUCCGAGCGUUAUCCGGAUUUAUUGGGUUUAAGGGGUGCGCAGGCGGCGUGUCAAGUCAGCGGUAAAAUGUCGGGGCUCAACCCCGGCCGGCCGUUGAAACUGGCGUGCGCGAGUUGGAGAGGAGUAUGCGGAAUUCGUGGUGUAGCGGUGAAAUGCAUAGAUAUCACGAAGAACCCCGAUUGCGAAGGCAGCAUACCGGCUCCACACUGACGCUGAGGCACGAAAGCGUGGGUAUCGAACAGGAUUAGAUACCCUUGUAGUC
rnacentral:rRNA from 1 species